rnacentral:ncRNA from 1 species
CGUCCAAGUUGCUUGGAACAGCACGUCGUAGAGGGUGACAACCCCGUCUGCGGCGACCUCGGCCGUUCACGAUGUGCUUUCGACGAGUCGGGUUGUUUGGGAAUGCAGCCCAAAAUGGGUGGUAAACUCCAUCUAAAGCUAAAUAUUGGCACGAGACCGAUAGCGAACAAGUACCGUGAGGGAAAGAUGAAAAGCACUUUGAAAAGAGAGUUAAAAAGUACGUGAAACCGUUAAAAGGGAAACGAAUGGGGUUAGCAAUGCGUCGUGCGAGAUUCAGCCGGUGGGUGGGCCAGGCGGGCGGUUGGCGGAUCUGAAUGGACCGCUGCCGUUCGGGUAGGUUUCCCGACCGUCGCACUUCUCGCAGGCGCGCGCCAACGUCGGUUAGGGCUGGGUUUCAAAGGCGGUGGAAAGGUAGGUUUGGACUCAAGGGCCCGAACUGUUACAGUCCUCCGUUUGUCAUGGCCCGGACCUGACCGAGGAGCUUGCGGUGCAUGCCGUUCGGCUAGGGUCCCGUCUUCCCGGUCGGUCGUCGAAUGCGGUGGACUGCAUGCAGUGCGCCGCGACUGCUGCCGGUCGCGAGGGCGGUGAUUUCGUACUAUGCACCCACGACGUUGGCGAUCAUAUGGCCUCAUCCGACCCGUCUUGAAACACGGACCAAGGAGUCUAACAUGUGUGCGAGUCUUUGAGUGAUCGAAACUCCGAGGCGAAAUGAAAGUGAAGGCGACUUCGGUCGCUGAGGUGAGAGCCUUUUACAAAAAAAGGCGCAUCAUUGACCGACCUAUUCUACUCUUAGAAAGGUUUGAGUAAGAGCGCAUCUGUUGGGACCCGAAAGAUGGUGAACUAUGCCUGAAUAGGGUGAAGCCAGAGGAAACUCUGGUGGAGGCUCGUAGCGAUUCUGACGUGCAAAUCGAUCGUCAAAUUUGGGUAUAGGGGCGAAAGACUAAUCGAACUGUCUAGUAGCUGGUUCCCUCCGAAGUUUCCCUCAGGAUAGCUGGAACUUACGGCAGUUUUAUCAGGUAAAGCGAAUGAUUAGAGGUCUUAGGGUUAAAACAACCUUAACCUAUUCUCAAACUUUAAAUUGGUAAGAAGUCCGACUUGCUUAAUUGAAGCUGGACAGUGAAUGCGAGUUCCUAGUGGGCCAUUUUUGCCAAGCAGAACUGGCGAUGCGGGAUGAACCGAACGCGCGGUUAAGGUG